rnacentral:rRNA from 1 species
AGUCAAGUAAUUAAGUGCAUGUGGUGGAUGCCUUGGCAGUCAGAGGCGAUGAAAGACGUGAUAGCCUGCGAAAAGCUCCGGGGAGGCGGCAAUAUCCUUUGAUCCGGAGAUGUCUGAAUGGGGGAACCCCCUACUUUAAGGUAGGUAUUGCAACAUGAAUACAUAGUGUUGCAAGGCGAACGAGGGGAAGUGAAACAUCUCAGUACCCUUAGGAAAAGAAAUCAAUUGAGAUUCCCUCAGUAGCGGCGAGCGAACGGGGAUCAGCCCAUUAAGUUAUGUGUGUUUUAGUGGAACGCUCUGGGAAGUGCGAACGUAGAGGGUGAUAUUCCCGUACACGAAAGGGCACACAUAAUGAUGACGAGUAGGGCGAGGCACGUGAAACCUUGUCUGAAUAUGGGGGGACCAUCCUCCAAGGCUAAAUACUCCUGACUGACCGAUAGUGAACCAGUACCGUGAGGGAAAGGCGAAAAGAACCCCUGUGAGGGGAGUGAAAUAGAUCCUGAAACCGCAUGCAUACAAGCAGUGGGAGCACCUUCGUGGUGUGACUGCGUACCUUUUGUAUAAUGGGUCAGCGACUUAUAUUCAGUAGCGAGGUUAACCGUAUAGGGGAGCCGUAGAGAAAUCGAGUCUUAAUAGGGCGUUUAGUUGCUGGGUAUAGACCCGAAACCAGGCGAUCUAUCCAUGAGCAGGUUGAAGGUUGGGUAACACUAACUGGAGGACCGAACCCACUGUCGUUGAAAAGCCAGGGAUGACUUGUGGAUAGGGGUGAAAGGCUAAUCAAGCCUGGUGAUAGCUGGUUCUCCCCGAAAGCUAUUUAGGUAGCGCCUCGGACGAAUACCAUAGGGGGUAGAGCACUGUUUCGGCUAGGGGGUCAUCCCGACUUACCAAACCGAUGCAAACUCCGAAUACCUAUGAGUACUAUCCGGAGACAGACUGCGGGUGCUAACGUCCGUAGUCAAGAGGAAAACAAUCCAGACCGCCAGCUAAGGCCCCAAAAUCAUAGUUAAGUGGGAAACGAUGUGGGAAGGCAUAGACAGCUAGGAGGUUGGCUUAGAAGCAGCCACCCUUUAAAGAAAGCGUAAUAGCUCACUAGUCGAGUCGGCCUGCGCGGAAGAUGUAACGGGGCUAAACUAUGUGCCGAAGCUGCGGAUGUAUACUUUGUAUACGUGGUAGGGGAGCGUUCUGUAAGCCGAUGAAGGUGUGUUGAGAAGCAUGCUGGAGGUAUCAGAAGUGCGAAUGCUGACGUGAGUAACGACAAAACGGGUGAAAAAACCCGUUCGCCGAAAGACCAAGGGUUCCAGUCCAACGUUAAUCGGGGCUGGGUGAGUCGACCCCUAAGGCGAGGCCGAAAGGCGUAGUCGAUGGAAAAUGGUUAAUAUUCCAUUACUUCUGUGUAAUGCGAUGAGAGGACGGAGAAGGCUAAAUCAGCCUGGCGUUGGUUGUCCAGGUGAAAGGAUGUAGGCAUGUAUCUUAGCAAAUCCGGGGUACUCUAUGCUGAGAUCUGAUAGCAAGCUGUACUUGUACAGCGAAGUGGUUGAUGCCAUGCUUCCAGGAAAAGUCUCUAAGCUUCAGUUACACAGGAAUCGUACCCGAAACCGACACAGGUGGUCAGGUCGAGUAGACCAAGGCGCUUGAGAGAACUCUGCUGAAGGAACUAGGCAAAAUGGUACCGUAACUUCGGAGAAGGUACGCUGUUGUUGGUGAUGGAACUCGCUUCCUGAGCUGACGACAGCCGCAGAAACCAGGCCGCUGCAACUGUUUAUUAAAAACAUAGCACUCUGCAAACACGAAAGUGGACGUAUAGGGUGUGAUGCCUGCCCGGUGCUGGAAGGUUAAUUGAUGGGGUUAGCGUAAGCGAAGCUCUUGAUCGAAGCCCCAGUAAACGGCGGCCGUAACUAUAACGGUCCUAAGGUAGCGAAAUUCCUUGUCGGGUAAGUUCCGACCUGCACGAAUGGCAUAAUGAUGGCGGCGCUGUCUCCAGCAGAGGCUCAGUGAAAUCGAAAUCGCUGUGAAGAUGCAGUGUACCCGCGGCUAGACGGAAAGACCCCGUGAACCUUUACUGCAGCUUGACACUGAACUUUGACCUUACUUGUGUAGGAUAGGUGGGAGGCUUUGAAGCUGGAACGCUAGUUCCAGUGGAGCCGUCCUUGAAAUACCACCCUGGUAAUGUUGAGGUUCUAACUCUGUCCCGUGAUCCGGGACGAGGACCGUGUCUGGUGGGUAGUUUGACUGGGGCGGUCUCCUCCUAAAGAGUAACGGAGGAGUACGAAGGUGCGCUCAGCGUGGUCGGAAAUCACGCGUAGAGUAUAAAGGCAAAAGCGCGCUUAACUGCGAGACCCACAAGUCGAGCAGGUACGAAAGUAGGUCUUAGUGAUCCGGUGGUUCUGUAUGGAAGGGCCAUCGCUCAACGGAUAAAAGGUACUCUGGGGAUAACAGGCUGAUACCGCCCAAGAGUUCAUAUCGACGGCGGUGUUUGGCACCUCGAUGUCGGCUCAUCUCAUCCUGGGGCUGAAGCAGGUCCCAAGGGUAUGGCUGUUCGCCAUUUAAAGAGGUACGCGAGCUGGGUUUAGAACGUCGUGAGACAGUUCGGUCCCUAUCUACCGUGGGCGCUGGAAAUUUGAGAGGAUCUGCUCCUAGUACGAGAGGACCAGAGUGGACGAACCUCUGGUGUACCGGUUGUGACGCCAGUCGCAUCGCCGGGUAGCUAUGUUCGGAAGGGAUAACCGCUGAAAGCAUCUAAGCGGGAAGCCUACCUCAAGAUAAGAUUUCCCUAGGACUUUAUGUCCUCUAAAGAGCCGUUCGAGACUAGGACGUUGAUAGGUUGGAUGUGGAAGCAUAGUGAUAUGUGAAGCUGACCAAUACUAAUUGCUCGUGAGGCUUGACUAU